rnacentral:rRNA from 1 species
UACGUAGGGGGCUAGCGUUGUCCGGAAUCAUUGGGCGUAAAGAGCGUGUAGGCGGCUUGGUAAGUCCGCUGUGAAAGUCCAGGGCUCAACCCCGGAAUGCCAGUGGAUACUGUCAAGCUAGAGUCCGGAAGAGGCGAGUGGAAUUCCUGGUGUAGCGGUGAAAUGCGCAGAUAUCAGGAGGAACACCAAUGGCGAAGGCAGAUCUCUGGGCCGUAACUGACGCUGAGGAGCGAAAGCAUGGGGAGCGAACAGG